AUCGCGAGACUUCAUCACGCUGAGCCGGGCGAGUGGUUUGGCGCUUGGAGGUGUUUGCUCCUGGGACGUCGCGCGGCAGAGCUCUGCACGUCGGCUGAGCACAGGACUCACGGUACUGAUAAGAUCCAGUGUUUUCCCAGUCCGGAUUGGAAUGCUUAAAUCUAGAAGAUUCCAGGGGGAGAAAACUCGGCCGAAAAUACUAGCCGUCGAGAGCAUCCACUACCGCUGACUUGCUCUGAAGGUGAAGGUGAGUUUGGAGGAGUAUUUGAAGUUUUGUCAAAAAUGGAGCUUUUCACGUGACGGUUCACCGUCGUGACGCUUGACAGCAGAGUGGGUCUGCGUGGGAGCCUGUCUGGUGCAGAGGCAACACUGGAGGUUGACUCAGCCCUGCUCUUUACCCGAGGCUCCUCCCAGGUGGCAGGGUCCGAAUGCUGACGUACUCGGUUGUCACGAGGGCCCGCGGCCUCUCCCUUACCUCACUGACGCUGGCCACGUCUUUUAUCACAUCCCCAGCCCCCCACUGAGAGCUCAGUACAUGUCAUUUUCCUGACUUCUGUGCACCUGGGGGCUCAGGUGAGGUCCUGAAAUUCGCUUGAGACGGCUGCCGAAGUGAGCCCGGGGCUGAAGCAGGAACCCUGAGGAGGCAGGUGGGUGAUGGAAGCCCCACGGAGGCAGCUACACCUGGACGACGGGCGGUGAGGAGGAGGCUGGGGGUUCUUGCCAGGCAGGCGCAGGCUCUGUCCCCAGGGUUAGCAAGACUGUCACCUCUCCUGCAUCCACAUUUCUGAAAUGACCCUCAGGAGCCUCCUGGGCUGGAGACAACGUCCCUCCAGCCUGCCAGGGACGCCUUCCUGAAAACAGUGGCAGUGGGCAAUCCACAGGUUUGUGUUUGUUUCAUUGGUUAUUUGCUUUUUUAAUUUUUUCUGAUCAAAAGCCUCUAUCAGGAAUAAUAUAACCAAAAGAAUUUAAUCAAUCCAAACUUGAACUAAACAGAGAUACCACAUGAACAUUUUUUUUUUUUUAAGUGAACCGGAUAGUCCUGUGUUACACUGGCAUGUGCUUAAUAGCCCUGUGAAUUGCUGGUCUUUUUUUUAAGUGGAUGCUGGUCUUCCAUGAGCCAGGCCUGCCCAGUCCUACAGGUCCCCCUGCACAGAUGUGGAUACAACCGCAGAGCUUAGGCCACAGUCCCAGAGCCUCUUGACAGUGACCCUUUGUCGCACAUCAAGGUGCCAGCAUACCCGGUGUCUGUCAAGGGCACUGUGCCCAGACUCUGGAUGGUCACCUUCCCGCCAUGUCCUCACGUGGCACAGGGAGCUCGUGUCCUCUUCCUAGGAGGGGGUAACUCCAUCCCACAGCCCUGUUCGUAUCACCUAAUCUAACCCUUACGAUCUCCCAAAGUCCCCUCCAUAUCUAUCACCUGGGGGUUAAACGGGGGGAACCAGUCUGGGCUGGUCCUUGGUUUCUCAGUGCGGAUUCCAACCUGGGUCCCCUGAGCGCUGUGGGACAUGGUGACGGGCUGCAGUGGGAGGGCAGGCAGGGGCUCACAGGAGGUUUGCAAAGGCUUUUCUCAGCCCAAGAAACCCAGCUUUUUGAAGCGUCUCUGCCAGCCCCACACAGACAAGACCUUGAUGGAAAAGAUGGGGAGGGGGCGGGGUGCAAGGAGCCACUGGACUGGACGGCCCACGGGACAGGCUUCCAGGCUGCGGGAGGGAGCUGGGGUCAGGAGUUGGAUGCCCCUGACCAUGACUUACUGGGUCACUCACUCACUCAGCAGCCGGGCUGCCUUUCAGGGGCCUUCAAGACGCCCCUUCUCUGAUCCAAGAGCCACAUCACUCCAGGGACUCGCGGUCCUUGGAGUCACCUGCUGUCACAUGGUGUCCCUCCCAGGUCAGAACCCUUGGUCAGAUGCAGCCAGCUGGUCUCCUGACAAGGUCAGGGAGACUGACUCGCCUGUGGGGGGAGCCCUGGUGUCCGCGGCUGCCUGUCAGGUGUGCCUCCCACUGCCUCCCCCAGCUCCCGAGCCCAAGGCGUCUUGAAGCACGUCUCCAAUCACUGGUGUUCCCACCGCAGCCUCCUCGCCCCGCCAGGUGUGACAAAGGGCCAUUCGGAGCCGCCCUUCACGCCAUCACCUCUUCACGCUCCAGACUCCUUGCAAACCCACCAGUCCAAGCCCCUCCUGGACCCACCAGCUUCUCUCUGGUUCGUUUUUGUCUUCAUUCAGGGACCUAACUUCUUUGAUGAGGCAUGAAAAAUCCCUGGCAGUCUCUUGUUAUCAGAAGGAAUUCUUUAUCGUCCUUCACCCCAGACCUGAGGCCCAGUGGCCAGCCGCAGAGAUGAGGCCCGUGGGGUUACCUGAGGUGAGGGCCAGGCCCUGGGCCUUUUCCUGACACCUGGUUUCAAAUACCCCCUCCCCGCCGGCAUCUCCUGUCACGUUAGGUGCCUCCCCAGACGACACAGUGCUGGCGAGGGCACGUCCACAGUGUGAUGGGAGUGGCGGGGCCACAGGCAGCCUCGUCCCCCAGACCACGAAGACGGCAACAGACUGUGAUGGGACUUCCUGCAGUCCUGUGAGGCAUGUGUUUGUCUUUCCUCUCCAAACUACACUGUGGAAAUUUUAUUGUUCUCCGAUCGUCCGUGUCUGGGUUGGUUGCACCUACUUAGAUAUCCUGAAAUCGCUCCUAUAAGCAUAUCUAAAAUGGAAAGUUCUUAUUUGCACUGCGAGAACUGGUAAUUCAUUUUUAUUCUAGUAAGACUUUCCAAACUAAAGACACUUUUUUCUUCCCUAUAUAAGUGGUUGCUGUGAUCGUUUUCAUGCCAGCGAUUUGUAUAACAAGAGCCAAUGUUUAAACACUGGGUCUGGGCAGUUGUCUGCAGGCAGGGAUUAAGAAUGUGUGACAAGGGCCCUGAAGAUGUCUCUGCUCUCCUUCUGGGAUGUGAGCGGACGGGCUGGGGUGGAGACCAGUCGUGACAUUUUCCAGGAGGUGCUGCUCGUGGGCGCGGACCGGUGUGUAAGUCCUCCGUGACUGUGGGUUUUAGGGCUGGGUCUUCGUGUGCUGAUCGGUUUAUUUUAAAAAGCGACACUCGAUCAACACAAGGUGGCUGGAGUGGAGGUGCCUCCCAAGGUCGAUUAAAAGAAACCAGCUAUUUAAGGAGGGGAAACAGACAUGUCUCAGGGCUGAUUGUGCAUUCAGAGGCGGGGCUCCCUCGGGGUGUCUCUGAGUCCCCUGCAGGCUAAAGACAGUCACCCCCCAACACGGAGGCUGGAAGGAAAGCCGGAGCAAACCUGCAUGCGUGCAUCUGGGGAAGGAAGGCUGUCCCCGCGGACACGUGCUGCCUCGGGAGCCGGGAACCCUCUCCUGGGCCUCCAGCCGCCCCACCGCCCAACCCCGGCUGCAUGGCUCCCAGCCAGUCCCGUUCAUCAGCAUUUGGCUCCAUCGAGGGGCCUCCACCCCAUCGGGGAUUUUCUUAGGAUGGGCCUGCCAAGGAGAACCUAUGAGAGAAUGGGCCCUGAGCCUGAGGCAGCGCCCCCCCACCCCGUCCCAUCCACCUGUGAGACAGAGGCCCAGCUCUGGGGCUCACACAGGGCGCCAAGGGAGGCCCAGUUACCUGGGACGGCAGUGAGGGUGCAGCUGUGAACACGCAGGGCCCCUCACCAAUGCUUCUCCCACCUGGAUGCCGCUAGAGCAUCUCCAGUGGCCCCUGUGGGGCGGCCUCUCCCAGCCUCCCUCACCGCCCCGCUCAACCAGGAGCUUUCAGAACCAGGCUCGGGCGGCGCCCCAAGAGACCAGUGGUGCUGUCGGAGCUGCUGCUGGCCUGACAGCUGGGUCAGGGCUGCCCAGCUCCCAGGUGGCAGAGUUCAGCUCAGGCCAGCCGGCGCUGAAACCCGGACACUUGCUGCUUAUGAGACGAGCCUCCUUCUACUCGAGCAGAUGUCCCCUCACCGGGAACAGGGAGUGGCAUGCCUGUCAGUGAAGAAGUCACACCACAUCCUGCAGAGACAGAGGCUGGGGGUAAAAAACCAAAAGGCUUUAUGGCCCCCCCUUUCCUGUCCGGAUUGGCCACCGUGGGACAGUGACCCCUCCACGCCCUGCUCUGUCUCAUCUGCAAAUGAAGAGGGCGUCCACCCUGCUGGGUGGUCCUGAAAACUAUGCAGAGAGGUUGGUAAGAUGCCCGGCGAUGGUGGCCGCGGUGCCCAAGGACCAAAGAGAAGCCAGAGCAGAGUCACCAGCAGGGACGCUGGGACGUGGCUGCCGCUGCUGGAGCCUCAGCCCCUGCUCCUCCCGCCUGGCCGCUGACCGCAUGGCCUCUGCAGGGAAGCAGCUGGGAAACGUGCUUCCGCUCGGGAAUUCCGCAUUUACGUUUUAAGGUCCCCGUUCAGUCUGUAUUCCUGUUGCCGUUAACUCUCACUCAGUUAGAAGCAGCAUCUCCACGGCCGGUUCGUCUCGCAGGUCCCCAUUCAUCAUCCACUGUGAAACUGCACAUUCGACAAAUGCUGUUCAGAGCCUUAUUUAUUUAGAAAAUUACUCUAAGCCUUGAAGAGACAUUGCCCUUUGCUGCAAACGGUACACAAUAGACUCUGCUUUGCUGUUCUGAGUAUCUGGCUGUAUUUCUUGUUUGAGUGUCUAGCUCCACAAUGAGAUCCUAGGUUCCUGGAAGCCGUGGACACUUGAGUGUGGACACACAUACUCUGGUUUCACAGAGUAACUAACUGCUGAGCAGAUUUUUGCCAGCAUCCCCGGCCCUCAGUCUCCCCAGCACCUCUCCCUCCCUCCCAGGCCUGCUUUCCGGAAAGGGGGUUGUUCACAGCCAGCCCUGAGCACCCAGCCUCGCAGAACACAGAAAAACUACCUGGCUCCAGCCAGUGUCAUCACAGCCUGUCUCGUCUCGUCUCGUCUCGUCUCGUCUCCACCAUCAGCUAAGAUGCUAACGUCAGUUUACGUGGACUUUCUGGGAAAAAAGUCCAACAUGGAACAUCUUUGCAAAAGCACGCUGCCAUUGCACAGGAUGUUAACCACAUCUACAUUCGACUACACUCCCUUCCCAGCACAGUUUCUCAGUCUCAGGCUUCUUGGGCCAAAGGCUUCUGAACAACGAUUGUCCAUAAGGAAGCAAAUGAUAUUACUCAGUCCUUCCCCCUCCUGCCGUGACAGGAGGUGGUAAAACUAUUUGGGGUGACUUUGCACAAUUGAAUCAUCACUCAGCUCCUCCCACGAAUACAAACUGGCUUCAGGGUUCCUGGGACAAGGCUUUGGGAACAAAAAACCAUGGUGUGAGCCAUGCUCGGGUCCCUGAAGGGCUGCGCACAGUGAAGGGAGUCUGCAGGGGGAGCCCGGCCCGGCCGCCGACGCGCGUCAGUUCCUUUCUGGUCCCACCUUUAAAGAGCCUUUGUGUUUUCUGUUCUGAUAAAGCCCGGUUCCCACACGGGGUGGGUGCUUUUCAGUGAGUCACUAACAACGAAAAUAGAUGAAAAUGGAGCUUUAAAAAUGGAAACCUCGGCACAAUCUCCACUCUCUGUUCAGACAACGCCGCUCUAAUUUUUGCCGUAAAACCUCUCCUUUUGGAUUCAGGUGAUGACAAGAGCACUUUUUUCACACGCCUGUUUCCUCCAAUAGUGACUGAUCGCGGAGACCCAGAGCGAGGCCUGCUGCCCGAUUUAAGCCCCAAUUCUUUUAUUUAAUGACUUUUAUUUUUUUCCAUUAUAUCUGGUUUACAAUGUUCUGUCAAUUUUCUACUGUACAGCAGGGUGACCCAGUCA